rnacentral:tRNA from 1 species
CAUUAAGAAGCUAUGAACCAGCGUUAGCCUUUUAAGCUAAAGAAAGAGGAACCCACCCCUCCUUAAUGA